rnacentral:tRNA from 1 species
GCCUGGGUGGCUCAACGGUUGAGCAUCUGUCUUUGGCUCAGGGCAUGAUUCCUGGGUCCUGGGAUCGAGUCCUGCCUCGGGCU